UUGGAGGGCAAGUCUGGUGCCAGCAGCCGCGGUAAUUCCAGCUCCAAUAGCGUAUAUUAAAGUUGUUGCAGUUAAAAAGCUCGUAGUUGAAUUUCGAGGUUCUACUGUCGGUCGGGCUACCAAGUCUGUACUGGUGUGUAGAAUUUCUACCUUCUGGGGAACCAUCAUGUUAUUAAUUUAGCGUGGUGGGAAACCAGGACCUUUACCUUGAAAAAAUUAGAGUGUUCAAAGCAGGCUUAUGUCUGAAUACAUUAGCAUGGAAUAAUAGAAUAGGACGGUGGUCCUGUUUUGUUGGUUUCUGAAUCACCGUAAUGAUUAAUAGGGAUAGUUGGGGGCAUUAGUAUUCAAUUGUCAGAGGUGAAAUUCUUGGAUUUAUUGAAGACUAACUACUGCGAAAGCAUUUGCCAAGGAUGUUUUCAUUAAUCAAGAACGAAAGUUAGGGGAUCGAAGACGAUCAGAUACCGUCGUAGUCUUAACCAUAAACUAUGCCGACUAGGGAUCGGAUGAUGUUAAUUUUUUAAUGACUCAUUCGGCGCCUUACGGGAAAC
rnacentral:rRNA from 1 species